UGCUGGUCCAAGUGCAGUGGCGUUAACAACAAAUUGACCACGACCAGUUACAGAUUUCUUUGUUCCUUCUCCACCUGCACUGCUUCACUUGAUUAACACUAA
rnacentral:Y_RNA from 1 species